UGGAGUCCCAUUGGGGAGGGCGAUGAAUGAUAAGUUUUCAUUUUAUAUGUAGGCGCUAUGGAGAGAUGGAAGAUUGCAGAGCAGGAAAAUCAUAUGUCCCAGCAGAGAAACAUGUAACAAGGAACAAAUGUACAAAUGGCCAUUGUCUAGUUUUGGAUGAGAGGACCGUGGAUGUUAGUUAUCUCCCUGAAAGCCAGACAGAUUAAGUGCUGGCUAUAAUGCUCAAAUCAGAAGAGAACACAAGAAGGAAGGAUUGUGAAUCUCAAGAAUAUUAACUAUUGUGAUUGCCACCAAUCUGAUGAGCUAAAGCUAAAAGAUGAGUAACUCUUCUUGGCCUUCUCCUGGGCUUUCCCUAUUAUGUACCAUUUCACAGAGAUCUGGUUUCAUGCUUCCUUUUUCCUUAAGUAGCAAACAUUACUGGCUUGGGAUUUCUUUGCUGACACCCCUCAAGUUCAGAAAAGGAAAAUGAAAGAAGUUCCAGGAUGACUUGAGACAUUUGUUUUCCUCAAAUAGGAACACAUAGUUUGUUAUAUAUCUGAAUGGAUAAAUGUGAUGGACUGGCACUGAUAGAGAAGAUGUCAAACACAGGAGAUGGAAUCUACAAAGCUGUGUCGUAAUAGAGAUUUCAAGUUUUAUCAGUUUCUGGAGUGUUCCAUGACAUUGUCUGAAUUAAUACUUGCCUUGGACAGUGUACUUCUUGAAGCAAUACACAUGGAAAGUGUGGGAGUGGUGGGAGUGGAGGGGUUAAUGGUGGUAUAAUCUAGGCAUCUACCAGGUGACAGUGACCUAUCUGAUAGUCAGUGAGAAUCCUGCAAUAGCCUUUCAAGAAAGAGAUUUGGGGUUGGUGAAUACAAUAGCAUACUGGAUAUUGCAAUAACUCCCUAGAGAGCUUUAAAAAAUAGAAUUAAAUCCACAAGAUCCAAGAGCAUGAGGGAAGCAAGCAUUAGGUGCUUCACACUAGAAUGACUAGGGAAAAUGGAGGGAAAAACUAAUUAGCAUGUUUAGCUAGGGAACCAGAGGCAUAGCAACAGACUAAAAAUCUCACAAUGUUUGAAGGACUUGUUUCACGGAAGAGUGAGCAUAUCUAUUCCAUUUUACAUCAGGGAAAGAAUGAAAAUGAAAGGGUAAGUGUUGCAAAGAGGGAAAUAUAGGCUCAAUGGGAGAAAAAUCUACCAAAAAAUUAGUUUUCUCAUCUUAGAGUAUUAUGUGUAGUGAGAAUA
ensembl:lncRNA